CAGAGCACACAGUCGCGUUCUUAGUUUUGGGAGAAAUUAAGCUGCUUCUCGUCAUGUAUUUUGCUCAAGAGAUGUCUGUGAGCAGCUCCAGUCCAGAUGAUGCAGUGAUGGGCAGGGAAGGUGCUAGAAAAAGCUCAUCUGCAAAUACUAGACUGGGAGAAAACAGGUUUAUAGAUCAGGAGAGUGGAGUUAUCGAGGGUCAAACACAGAUCAGACACAGACAGGAUGAUGUGCUGGAGAACAGAGGGAAAUGCAUCAAAAGGAAAAGCAGUAUGGACAAUCUUGUCAACUUUUCAGGAGAGACUCCAGCUAUGACUGAUGAGAUUCCUCAGAGGAAAGAUCAGAUCAGGCUGCUUCUGCUGGGACUGACAGGAGUGGGGGGAAUUGUCAGUGUAAACACCAUCAGCAGCAGAAACUGCAUUCAGUUCUUCAUCAGUUCAGUUUCUCAGUGUCAGUCAGAAACUAUAGUGAGGAACAGAAAACUGGUCUCAGUCAUCAACACUGCUGGAUUGUGUGACAGCUUGUAUAAAGCACAGUUAAGAGGAUUUGGAUGACAGAGUGUAAACAAAUCAUUGCAGAAAUGCAGACGUGACGGCAGUCGAGUCUCAACAUGAAGCUGUCAGGGUGGGUGUUGAUCUGGAUGGUGGAUUUCUGUCACAUCCACAGCCUCUGUUUCUGCCUGUUUCAAACCAUCUAUCCUCACAGUAGAUCAGCUCUUUAGAGAAGGAGGAUAAUAUGCAGCCUGUGAUCUCUGCUACAGUAUAUAAUGUAUAACAGCUAUAAUGAUCUGCUUCAGGAGUGACGUUUACAUUUAAUGAACGUCAACAGUGAUAUUUACAGUAUACUAGACUGAACUGAAUCAGUUUCAGUUUAUCUAGAGCUACAGCAGCUUUCUCCAGCUGCCAGAUGAGCUGGAAUAAUCAUCAAUCUGCAGCAUCAGGGCUCUUUCUUCAUCUGUGUAGCUGAUUUGACAGUUUAUAUUGUAUAAAUAUAUAGAUGAAUUGAAUUAAACAUGAUGCUGAACAUGAAAAGCAUUCAAACGUUCUGUAUAUAACACUUUAUAAGUGCUAAUAAACAGUUAAUAUUAAACAUUCAGCUUAUCAAUGUGUAUCUAUUGCUGCAUUGGCAGGUGUGUGUGUGUGUGUCUCUCCCGCUCUUUACAUCUGCAGGCCCUGCCCUAGUAUGCAGAUGACGUGCCCUGGGAUU